CUUAUACAUUUCGUGUAUGUAUAUGAAUUCAUUUAUUCAUAUAAACCUGUCUCUCUGUCCUCCUGUCUGUCUGCAGGAGUCUGUCAAAGAAGUAUCAUCCCAAGAGGAGCAGAGAGGAUGAGAGCAGGUACACCUGGUGUUUGGCGUUUUCAGCAACUCUCCGUCAGUUGAGUGAACUCGCCAUUCAGAGAGAAGAACUCGCUGAGAACCUCAACACACAGAUCGUGUGUGAGCUGACACGAUACACACAGGAAGUAAAGGCUGAGAGGAAGACUCAUUUCCAAGAUGGCCGCCGUACCCAGCAGCACAUUGAGAGCUCCUGGAAACAACUUGAAUCUGUGAGUGACCUCUAACUCCGCCCACCAACACCUGUGGACCCACCCACAAACGCCACGCCUCUAACCCCACCCACCAACACAUGUUGACCCGCCCAGAAAAGCUAUGCCUCUAACCCCUCCCACCAACACAUGUUGACCCGCCCACAAAUGCUACGCCUCUAACCCCGCCCACCAACACCUGUUGACCCGCCAACAAACGCUACGCCUC